CCCCGGCAUAAAAGACCGGUAAACCCAGGAAGUGACCUCUUACAUCUUCUCGCGUUUGCAGGUUGCGAGUUGGAUUGAAAUUUGGACAAAGCGCUGUGGUAGUUUCGUUACCCGUAAGGUUGGGGCUGUGCUUACGCAUCCUCCAAGAAACUGCGCUAAGUCCACCAACUCUUUUCUUCUUGUCGUUAUAUUCGUAUUGAUUUAUUACUCCGUAAGCUGAGCGCUCUCGCUCGGUGGAGUUAGCUGAUUAGCCCUCCGGGGCGGUGUCCUCACCGCUGGAGGCCGGCUUGUUUUCGCUUCAGGUAAGCGGGUUUCAUUUAUUUAAAUUAAAGCGGCGUUCCUCUCGCCGCUGUUUAUCAGUUCUGCGGCGCUCGGCGCCUAUCCUUGUUAAUAUUAUUAACCACCUUGUUUUCUGUAGCCUCGCCGCCGGCCUGUUCACAGGCCGGCUGUCUUGUGUGUUGUAUUCGUAUUGAUUUAUUACUCCGUUAAGCUGAGCGCUCUCGCUCGGUGGAGUUAGCUGAUUAGUCCUCCGGGGCGGUGUCCUCACCACUGGAGGCCGGCUUGUCUUCAUUCAGGUAAGCGGUUUUCAUUCAUUUAAUUUAAAGCGGUGUUUCUCGCCGCUGUUUAUCAGUUCUGUGGCGCACUGCGCCUAUCUUUGUUAAUAUUAUUAACCGCCUUAUUUUAUGUAGCCUUGUCUCCGGCCUGCUCACAGGCCGGCGGUCUUGUGUUGUAUUGUUUGUUACUCCGUUAAGCUGAGCGCUCUCGCUCGGUGGAGUUAGCUGAUUAGUCCUCCGGGGCGGCGUCCUCACCGCUGGAGGCCGGCUUGUCCUCAUUCAGGUAAGCGGUUUUCAUUUAUUUAAUUUAAAGCAGUGUUUCUCGCCGCUGUUUAUCAGUUCUGUGGCGCACUGCGCCUAUCUUUGUUAAUAUUAUUAACCGCCUUAUUUCAUGUAGCCUUGUUUCCGGCCUGCGCACAGGCCGGCGGUCUUGUGUGUUGUAUUCGUAUUGUUACUCCGUUAAGCUGAGCGCUCUCGCUCGGUGGAGUUAGCUGACUAGCCCUCCGGGGCGGUGUCCUCGCCGCUGGAGGCUGGCUUGUUGUCGCCCAGGUAAGCGGUUUUCAUUCAUUUAAACUAAAGCGGCGUUUCUCGCCGCUGUUAUCAGUUCUGUGGCGCACGGCGCCUAUCCUUGUUAACAUUAUCAACCGCUUUGCUUUGUGUAGUCUUGUCUCCGGCCUGCUCACGGGCCGGCUGUCUUGUGUGUUGUAUUUGUAUUGCUGUUACUCCGUUAAGCUGAGCGCUCUCGCUCGGUGGAGCUAGCUGACUAGCCCUCCGAGGCGUAUCCUCGCCGCUGAAGGCCGGCUUGCUUUCGUUCAGGUAAGCGGUUUUCAUUCAUUUAAAUUAAAGCGGUGCUUCUCGCCGCUGUUUAUCAGUGCUGUGGCGCACGGUGCCUAUCCUUGUUAAUAUUCCCGACCACGGGUGUGUUCGCCCGGUCGUUUUUCAUUACCGCCUGAUUGUUUAUUUUGGGCUGCUUACUUGGGGUGUUCUCGCCCUAUUUUUUAAGUUCCCUUCUGCCAGCCAGGCGUCAUGGACCUCUUCUCUCGCUGCGCCAACUGCUGGUCCCCCUCGAACCGGAGGACGGCCACCGCGAGUGCCCCUCAUGCCUGGGUAUUGAUCACCUGCGGCAGGGGCUGACGGACAUGGCCUGCGCAGACUGCAUGUGCCUGAGCGUGGCUGUGCGGACCGCCAGGCUGGCUCGGCUGGAUUCUCCGUCUGACAUCCCCCGGGCCUCGGGGGGACAGGACACGGUGUCGGCUGCAGCAGCGGGGCCCAGCAAGCGCCGUGGGCUCCCCCACACGUCUUCGCUUCUAAGGCGAAAAAGAAGCGCUCGGGCGAUUUGGCUCAGAAGGUGGAGGUGAUGUCCACCGAGCUGGAGGAGAUGAAGGCCCUGCUGGCGAAUCUUCAGCCUCCGCCACAGGGGGCAGUGUUCCCGCAGCCACCCCUUCUGCCUGGCAGCCCGACUGUUCACCAUCACCACCGCUUCUGUCACCGGCCGUUGAUGCACGCGGCCUGGAUGAACUGUCGAUCCGGGCUUCGGAGAGCUUUGACUGCGGUGGGUCCGAUGGUCACGGCUCCACCUCUCCGGCCGGUUCCCAGGCCACCAGCCAUGGCACCGUGGCAGCGUCGGAAGGCGGAUGCUCAUCCAUCCAGCCAACGCUGAGGGCUGCAUUGGCCCGUCUGGGGUUGGACACGCCCCGGUGGCCCAGCAUCAGAGCGCUUUCUUCAGAGGUCCCACAUAGCCUUCCUCGUUGUCUGUUCCGCCCUCGGCCUCAUACAUCGAGGAGUUACAGAGGUGUUGGGCGGACCCUAGAUGCCUUCCCACCUCCCUAGUGACUGCAGGGCCCUGGCGGCAAUGCAGGACACCCCUACCUAUGGCCUCCUGCAGAUGCCCAACAUUGAGAAGCGGCUUUCAUUCAUUUAAAUUGAAGCGGUGUUUCUCACCGCUGUUUAUCAGUUCUGUGGCGCACAGUGCCUAUCCUUGUUAAUAUUAUCAACCGCUUGUUUUGUGUAGCCUUGUCUCCGGCCUGCUCACGGGCCGGCUGUCUUGUGUGUUAUAUUCGUAUUGUUUGUUACUCCGUUAAGCUGAGCGCUCUCGCUCGGUGGAGUUAGCUGACUAGCCCUCCGAGGCGUGUCCUCGCUGCUGGAGGCCGGUUUGUUGUCGCUCAGGUAAGCGGUUUUCAUUCAUUUAAAUUAAAGCGGUGUUUCUCGCCGCUGUUUAUCAGUUCUGUAGCGCACGGCGCCAUCCUUGUUAAUAUUCCCGACCACGGGUGUGUUCGCCUGGUCGUUUAUUUUUUAUUUCCACCUGAUAGUUUAUUUUGGGCUACUUACUUGGAGCGUUCUCGCCUUAUUUAAGUUCCCUUCUGCCAGCCAGGUGUCAUGGACCCCCAGACGCUGGAGGGGACGAGCGCGGCAUCACGGGAGCUGUGUGACGCGGCUCCAGGCCUUUGCCUACUCGUCGCGGGAACUGGGCCGGCUGAUGUCGUAUCUCACCCUCGGCCGCCAGCAGAUAUGGCGGGCACAGUCCCCUCUGGCCGAGCCCGACCGGCGUGUGCUGCACUCUCUCCCUGUUGUCCCCGGGGAGCUGUUUGGCGAAGCCACUCAGCAAGCCCUGGAUCGGAGUGCCCAGGUCAUCUAGGCGUAACAGCAGUUCGCUGGCCCCGCCAGGCCCACCACCAUGGCAAUGUUGCCCAGUCCUUCAGGGGGCCCACACCGACUCUGUCUCGGCCACGCACCCGCCAGGAGACCAGACGGGUUGAUGACUUUCGCCGCCCCACCACCUCCCGGACCCGCGGUGCCGCCCCCUACACCCAGUCUGCUCCUCGUCGCUCCCAUGGUGACCGACGGGGGCGCUCUGGACGGCGCUGACAUCAGCGCGCCGGCGGUCGGCCGCUUUUCCAGCGAACAGCUCCAAAGCUGGAGAGCGUUGACCCCUGGGUGCUGGUGACCCUCACCGAGGGUUACCGCAUCCAGUUCUGCCGCCGUCCACCACGUUUCAUGGGGUCAAACACACCACCGUGAGCCAUCCGGGGAAGUCCCUCGUCCCCCGGCAGGAAAUCGCCACCCUCCUGGAGAAAGGAGCAGUCUCUCCCGUCGACAGGCAGAGACAGCAAGGUGGGUUCUACUCCAGGUAUUUUCUGGUUCCGAAGGACGGCGGUAUCCGCCCGAUCCUCGACCUGAGGUCCCUCAAUUCCCACUUGAGGACCAUGAGAUUCCGCAUGCUGCGUACAGUGGAUGUCUUACACCACAUCCAGGCGGGCGACUGGUUUGUCACCUUCGACCUGAAAGACGCCUACUUCCAUGCUCCCAUUGUGCCACACCACAGGCAGUUCCUGCGGUUUGCCUUCGAGGGCCAGGCUUUCGAAUUCAAUGUUCUGCCCUUUGGGAUAUCGCUGGCACCCCGUGUGUUCACCGGGUGUGCGGCAGCGGCACUACUUCAGGCAAGGGGUUUGCGUGUCCUGCCUUACCUGGACGACUGGCUCGUCUGUCCACGGUCAGCAGCUCAGGCCCGCACCAACAUCGCGACUGUGCUCUCGCAUGUCGUAGAGCUGGGGCUCAGGGUGAAUUACAAGAAGAGCUCGCUGGUGCCCAGCCAGGAGACAACUUUCUUGGGCAUGCACCUGGAUUCAAGGUCGUUGAUGGUAACUCCCUCCCAGACCAGGAUCCACAACAUCCGCCUACUGCUUGGCCGCUUCGGACGGGGUAGGUCACUCGCCCUGAAGACCUUUCAGCGCCUGCUGGGCAUGCUUACGGCAGCCUCCUCUCUGGUCCCGCUGGGACUUCUGGACUUACGCCGCUUCAGAGGUGGUUCAACGGUCUCCACCUCCACCCGGUGCUGCACGGGUGCAGCACAUCAACGUGCUGGAGCUACGGGCUGUGUUCCUCGGCCUACAGCACUUCCUCCCAGGCCUGACCUGCAGACACGUUCUGGUGCGGACGGACAACGCUACGGUAGUGUACUACAUCAACCACCAGGGAGGCACAAAGUCCCUCCAGUGCUUGAAAGUGGCUGGCCAACUUCUGCGGUGGGCCCAUCGACAUCUCUUGAGCCUGCGUGCCAUGUACUUGCCAGGCACUGCCAACAGGGCAGCAGAUCUGCUGUCCCGCCAGGACCCCGAUCCCGGGGAAUGGAGACUCAACCCAGCGGUGGUUCUCGCCAUCUGGAAACGUUUUGGCAGGGCAGAGGUGGACCUCUUUGCCUGCCAGGAGUUGACACACUGCCCUCUGUGGUUCAGCCUCCACGGCCCCAGUCCCCUGGGCCAGGAUGCGCUGGCGCAUGCUUGGCCGAGGCAACUGCUGUAUGCCUCCCCCCCUCUGCUGCUGAUCGUGCCAACCCUACACAGGGUUGCGAUGGACCACCACGGGCUGCUGCUUGUCGCCCCCCCGGUGGCUGGGCCGAGUGUGGUUCCCAAGUUGCUGCAACUUCUGAACGGCGACCCCUGGUGCCUGCCAGUGAGGACUGACCUAUCACAGCUGGGAGGGCAGAUCUGGCACCCGGAUCCAGCCCAUCUGCAGCUCUGGGUAUGGCCGCUGAAGGGCCGGACCCCCUGCGAGGUCCUUGUGAGCCGGCAGUGGUCAACACCAUUGCAAGCUCUCGGGCACCCCCCACCAAUGCCCUCUAUGCCAACAGAUGGAGGCUUUUCUCCAACUGGUGCUUAACUCGGGGGGAGGAGCCUACAUGCUGCCCCCUGCCGACCAUUCGACUGUUCCGCCAGCCUCUGCUUUGAUAAGGGUCUUACCCCUGCCACCAUCAAGGUCUAUGCAGCUGCCAUCUCUGCUCAGCAUGCCAGAGUUGGGGGAAGGACCGUGGGGUCCCACGCCUUGGUGGCACGUUUCUUGAAGGGUGCUCUCCGGUUGAGACCCCCCCGACGGAGCCGGGUACCCACAUGGGACCUUCAUUGGUGCUGCAGGCUCUCUGCGACGCACCGUUCUGAGCCCCUGCUCACGGCAGACAUUUCAUGGCUCUCCCUGAAGACUGCUUUUCUUCUGGCCAUUACAUCGACGAGGCGCAUCGGGGAAUUACAUGCGCUGUCAGUCAGUGGGGAGUGCCUGCAGUGGCACUCCGGCGACAGUGGGGUCACCCUGUGGCCUAACCCCUCUUUCCUCCCGAAGACCCUCUCUGCUACCUUCGUCAACCAGCCCCUUAGCCUUGCGGCGUUCGAGGCGGGCCAUGGUGAGAGGUCGGAACUUUUGUGCCCAGUUCGCGCCCUCAGGGUGUACGUGUCGCGUACAGAGGGCUUCCGUAGGAGUGACGCCCUGUUUCUGUGCCACACAGGACCAACGAGGGGUCUGGCACUCUCUAAGCAGAGGCUAUCCAAGUGGAUAGUCGUAGGCAUGUAAUAUGGCCUCAGGCACAGUGGCUUCCCGAUUCCUCCGGCCGUCAGGGCGCACUCUGCACGAGGCGUGGUGGCCUCAUGGGCAUCACUGAAGGGCGUGCCCCUUUCAGACAUACGCAGCGCAGCCUCCUGGGCUUCCAGCUGCACCUUCACCAGGUUUUACCGUCUUAAUGUCGUCCCACAUAAUCCUGUGGCGACGGCUGUCAUUCCAGGCCCGUCGCAGCAUCACUGGGUACGGGUAGGCACUCCUCAUGACCUGGUUGGUAUUAGUCAUCCAUGUGCUGAAAGCACCGCCUCUGGCGGUCAGUAGAAACGAAAUAGAACGAGGGUUAUGUAUAUAACCGCGGUUCUAUGAGUUUCGGAUGACCGCCAGAGCUUGGCAGUCACUCGGAGUGUACACGAGAAGAUUUGCCAAGAGGUCACUUCCUGGGUUUACCGGUCUUUUAUGCCGGGGUCACGGGGUGACGUCACCCAGGUCACACGUGACUUUGUUGUUACUAUUACUCGACCUGCACGUUCGUGUGAUGGAUAUCCAUGUGCUGAAAGCACCGCCUCUGGCGGUCAUCCGAAACUCAUAGAACCGCGGUUAUAUACAUAACCCUCGUUCCAUGUUUAUCUAGGAGGGAGGGAAUAAUCUUAGACUCCACCCUUCCACGAGCCAGACGGGCAAGUAAACGGCCUGGCUUGUUGCCUGAUUCAAGCAGUCUGUUUAGCAAAAAAUAUUUGGGCUUCAGCCUUUUGUGUUAAUAAUUGUUAAUUAAGUGCCGAAUGAGCUGCCUCCAAUUGUUUCAACAGGUAUUUAUUUGGUGAGCGCUUAAAUUGAGUUUCAAUGUCUCUCAAAGCCUCUUCUAGUUCUAAUUGUCUCUUUAAAGCCUCCUUUUUCUGUGCUGAGGUAUAAGAUAUAAUGGCACUGCGUAUGGUGGCUUUUGCAGCUUCCCAUAAAGUGGAAAGGCUAACGUCAGGGGUUUUAUUUUCAGCAAAAAAAACCUGGCAUUGCGCUGUAAUGAAAUCAACAAAACACUGACUAUUAAGCAGCGCUGGAGACAAUUGCCAAUGAUAGCAUGUUCGACAUUCCUUUUUCUUUCGUAGUACACGUCCGAGCCCGUUUUAAGUCCACGAAAAUCCAAUGACUCCAGUCCAUACCACAGUCAAACUCGACCUGCAAGUAAGUUCAGGCGGAUCUGCAGCCAAUUUAACCUGCUCUGUCUGCAGCUUCUUUUAAUCCCCAAGCACGGCCUGCACGAAGUUGUGUGGGCAAACGUUCACUCAUCUGAACUACCUGAGCUCGUCUGUGGUACGGACUGGAGUCAUUGGAUUUUCGCGGACUUAAAACGGGCUCGGACGUGUACUACGAAAGAAAAAGGAAUGUCGAACUGCUCAACCUGCGCGUGCCGGAGGACGUAAACAGAUAAGCUAAUCAUUUAAGACUCUCUUUGCAUUUGACUGAAGGUUCCUUAAAUGUGAUAUAUGCUUAAUGACUCGAUUUAGUGUUUUCUUGGUCAAAAUACAGUCUGUGGACAAUAUUGUGUUACUGACAGACAAUUUGCACACCAGUAAGCUUAAUUUUCUCUGAAAGUGAAUGCAUUAUUUUAUAUUGUGAAAGUUUGCUUUGCAUCUAGUAAACACCUAAUUUGCACAGAAAAGUGAUCUUUUUACAUGAAAGUAUCGCACAUUUAUGGUAAUCUGCAUUUUAAUUUGCACAUUUAAGAAGCAAAGUUAUUAUUUUUUAACCUUUGGUUGACCAUUUCAUAGUUUACCCCUUGUGUAUUGCUCAUGCAUAUGCUUAAUUCCUGCAUAGAGUGUAUGUACACUUCUUUGAGGGACAGUGGUGGAAUUUGGUUGUUUUAUGAUCACAUUUUUUACUUGUCUUCACUAAGGCUUACUUCACCUAGUCAGUAAUGACAGUCACCUAGACUGUCAUUAGUCAUGGCGAUGCAGAAAAGGUCCCAAAAGAGGAAGUAAAUAAUGAUCCAGCUUGGUACAUUCCCCAUCAUGGUGUCUAUCACCCUAAAAAGCCUGGAAAAAUACGUGUUGUCUUUGAUUGCUCUGUUAGAUUCCAAGUUGUAUCUUUAAAUGACCACCUUCUCACUGGGCCAGAACUUACAAAUACCUUGCUGGGAGUCCUUUGCAGGUUUCGCAAGGGCCCUAUUGCCAUCACAUGUGAUAUAGAACGAAUGUUUCAUCAAUUCCACGUGAAAUCUGACUACAGAGACUACUUGAGAUUUCUUUGGUGGGAGAAUGGCAACCUUCAGUCUCCUCCAUCAAUCUUUCGAAUGAAAGUUCACCUCUUUGAGGCAGCCUCUUCACUUGGCUGUGCCAACUUUGGCCUUCAACAUUUAGCCCUUAAAGCCCAGGGUCAGUUUGACCAGAACACAAUUAAGUUUGUCAAGAGAAACUUUUAUGUAGAUGAUGGGCUCAUUAGCAGACAUGUGGACUCGAGUCAUGUGACUUGGACUCGAGUCAGACUCGAGUCACCAUUUUGAUGACUUGAGACUUGAAAUCCCUAGAUGAGGAAUGACUUGCAACUCGACUCGGACUUGCACGCUGUUGACUCGAGACUUGACUUGGACUUGACAGUUUUAGCUUGCAAUGACUUGGCGUAUCAGGUAUAAAUAUUCUCCCCCCCCCCCCCCCCCUCGAUUUUGAAUCCAAGUACAGUACACUCAUUAUUUGAAUGCGGUGUAGCUCCUUGUCCUAGGCUACGGCAGCUCAAUCCACUAGCACUAGGUGUCACUCAAGCACUUCAACUGGUUCAAAUGAAAAACCAAACGGUGAUGGGCAACGAGGACGCUGAACAUUGAUGACGCUGAAUGAUGAACGGAUGGAUAAAAACAUGAUUCCCCGCGUAAUUUCCUUUGGAUUUAAAGAAUACUCCAAUACAGAUGGCAAACGCAUUGCUACGUGCAGAACAUGUGGAGCCACAAUUUCGGACAGCCAGUCAACCACAUCAAACUUCGUUCGUCACCUGAGGCUGCAUAAGGAAAAAUUUGCAGAAUAUCUGAAGAACAAGAUCAUCCCAAGUGAGACAGAGCAGCCGUCCAUUUCUGGAUUCCUUACUGCAAAAGAUACACAG